rnacentral:rRNA from 1 species
UGAGGAAUUUUCCGCAAUGGGCUAACGCCUGACGGAGCAAUGCCGCGUGCAGGACGAAGGCCUUCGGGUUGUAAACUGCUUUUGUACGGAACGAAACGGUCUCUUUUAAUAAAGCUUGCUAAUGACGGUACCGUAAGAAUAAGCACCGGCUAACUACGUGCCAGCAGCCGCGGUAAUACGUAGGGUGCGAGCGUUAAUCGGAAUUACUGGGCGUAAAGGGCAUGUAGGCGGCUUUGUAAGCCCGGCGUGGAAGCCCACGGCUCAACCGUGGGAUUGCGUUGGGAACUGCGAGGCUUGAAUCAUGGAGAGGGAGCUAGAAUUCCUGGUGUAGGGGUGAAAUCUGUAGAGAUCAGGAAGAAUACCAGUGGCGAAGGCGAGCUCCUGGCCAAUGAUUGACGCUGAGGUGCGAAAGUGUGGGGAUCAAACAGG